rnacentral:rRNA from 1 species
UACGUAGGGGGCUAGCGUUGUCCGGAUUUAUUGGGCGUAAAGAGCGUGUAGGCGGCCAGACAAGUCUGCUGUGAAAACUCGAGGCUCAACCUCGAGCUGUCGGUGGAAACUGUCUGGCUAGAGUCCGGGAGAGGAGAGUGGAAUCCUGGUGUAGCGGUGAAAUGCGCAGAUAUCAGGAAGAACACCCGUGGCGAAAGCGGCUCUCUGGAACGGUACUGACGCUGAGACGCGAAA